rnacentral:rRNA from 1 species
UACGUAGGGUGCAAGCGUUUGUCCGGAAUUAUUGGGCGUAAAGAGCUCGUAGGUGGCCUGUCGCGUCGGCUGUGAAAACUCGGGGCUCAACUCUGAGCUUGCAGUCGAUACGGGCAGCCUAGAGUUCGGCAGGGGGAGACUGGAAUUCCUGGUGUAGCGGUGAAAUGCGCAGAUAUCAGGAGGAACACCGGUGGCGAAGGCGGGUCUCUGGGCCGAUACUGACACUGAGGAGCGAAAGCGUGGGGAGCGAACAGG